CACCGUUCAGAUGAUUAAAUAGCAGCCUACCUUUUGACUCUUGGUUGUUGUACCAUACAUUUUUUAUUACAUAAUUUGAAUUCCAUCUUUUUGGCGAUUCUCGUUGAGCAGUGGAGAACAUACUAUUAAUGUUUUAUCCACAACUCUGUCCAUCGCGAAUAAUGUACAAUGUUUUUUUCAGCUUUACUCACGGGACAAUGGCAUACAACACAGUGCUGCCCUCCCCCUUCCUGCAGGUUCACCUCUCUGCAGUGCAACAACAAUAGAAAAAGUGUGACGUGUCAGAGAAGAGAUGGGACAACAAGGCAUCAAUAGAAUCUAUUUAUUGCAAAGCUACAGAGGAUUCUCAGAUAUUGACAGGCAUUGUUUUUGUGGAUAUUAAAGGUAUACAAUGAUUGUGUUCCUUGUCCAAUAAUUCAUUAUGUGGAUCAUUUAACCGUUUAUGCCUUUGUCUCUUAGUAUGUGGAUACAUUUCAUACAGUUUUCUGAUUUCCUUUUGCAUUUUCCAGCUGAAUUCUUGUCCUUUCAUCUUUCUCUCGCUGUCUAUUGUGUUUUAUUAAUGUUUGUCUUUGGUUCUCAAGCUCCUGUCUUCGUUUUUCUUCCAUCUUUUGUUCUGUUUCCAUUCUCACUUUCUCAGCUAGGAGCUGCCUGUUAUCCUCUUCUGUCUUUUUCCUUUCCUUCUCUGCUUUCUGUUUUUCCUUCUCCAUGUUCUGUUUUUCCUUCUCCAUGUUCUGUUUGUCCUCCUCCGCUUUCUGUUUAUCAGUUCUUGCUUGAUCGCGGUCUUUCUCUGCCUGAUCCGCUCGCUCUUUUGAUGCAUCUCCACCCAUUCUCUUGUUGAUCUUGUAGGUCUCCGACUUAGAGAUUAGAUAUGAAAAUAACCAAAAAACAGACAGUGAAUGCUUUUGC